GUGCAGUCUCGCGUGGGCAACAGGUUUGCAUACUUCGUGCUAAAUUAUUUUUUCUAUUCAAAUUUUGUCGCUAAAAUUUCACUACAUUUUCGGCGAUUAUUGUGAAAAGGGACACAUUGAAUAGCAUCGCAACCGCAUGGUUCCUUCAAGUUCAGACGUGUGAAGUCUCCGCAAUAAAUGCGAAAACCAGUUUUCUUCUAUUCCGCGCGCCAAUAAUAAGUGUUUCUAGUUUCGGGUCCGAUUUCGGCAUUUUUAAUUUUUAUUCACGAAUGAUAAGGACAUAAGGAAAAUGCAUUUAGAAUUUGUUCGUCCUUGACCGCGUUUUGCUUUUCCUUUGAAUUAUUCGAAGUCAACCGGGUUCCAAUUCGUGUAAUGCGGGCGAAUAUUAAUAUCUACGUGAGUGAAUUGUGUGUAAAAGCUGACGAGAUUGGCGGUGACUCCUUAGGAAUACCAGUGCAUUCAGUGAUACUAGAGAUUGACAAUGAAUUCAAUUUUUAAAAUUUCAAAAAAUUCGAUGAGUGUUUAUUCGGUAAUUUCGCGAGUGGAUUGCGUAGUGUCCGAAAUAUAUGUAGGAGUGCAAUUUCUGAAGGAGCCGCAGUUCAAACUACGACUGGAUAAGGAGUUAUCAGGCGGGAGAUGAUGCACCAGCACACCAAACAACGAACUAUAAACCAAUCUAAACUAGACAUCACGUGAAACACACUCAGGUCUUGGAGUUCAUCUUGUGAACAGUGAAAACGAUAGUGAAACAUUCAUGUAUGUACACAUAUAUCUAUUAGACUA